GAAGUUAGCGGCGGACGGGUGAGUAACACGUGGGUAACCUGCCCAUAAGACUGGGAUAACUCCGGGAAACCGGGGCUAAUACCGGAUAACAUUUUGAACUGCAUGGUUCGAAAUUGAAAGGCGGCUUCGGCUGUCACUUAUGGAUGGACCCGCGUCGCAUUAGCUAGUUGGUGAGGUAACGGCUCACCAAGGCAACGAUGCGUAGCCGACCUGAGAGGGUGAUCGGCCACACUGGGACUGAGACACGGCCCAGACUCCUACGGGAGGCAGCAGUAGGGAAUCUUCCGCAAUGGACGAAAGUCUGACGGAGCAACGCCGCGUGAGUGAUGAAGGCUUUCGGGUCGUAAAACUCUGUUGUUAGGGAAGAACAAGUGCUAGUUGAAUAAGCUGGCACCUUGACGGUACCUAACCAGAAAGCCACGGCUAACUACGUGCCAGCAGCCGCGGUAAUACGUAGGUGGCAAGCGUUAUCCGGAAUUA
rnacentral:rRNA from 1 species